rnacentral:rRNA from 1 species
UACGGAGGGUGCAAGCGUUAUCCGGAUUCACUGGGUUUAAAGGGAGCGUAGGAGGGCAGGUAAGUCAGUGGUGAAAUCUUCGAGCUUAACUCGGAAACUGCCGUUGAUACUAUCUGUCUUGAAUACCGUGGAGAUGAGCGGAAUAUGUCAUGUAGCGGUGAAAUGCUUAGAUAUGACAUAGAACACCAAUUGCGAAGGCAGCUCGUUACACGAAUAUUGACUCUGAGGCUCGAAGGCGUGGGGAUCAAACAGG